UACGGAGGGAGCUAGCGUUGUUCGGAAUUACUGGGCGUAAAGCGCACGUAGGCGGCUUUGUAAGUUAGAGGUGAAAGCCUGGGGCUCAACUCCAGAACUGCCUUUAAAACUGCAUCGCUUGAAUCCAGGAGAGGUGAGUGGAAUUCCGAGUGUAGAGGUGAAAUUCGUAGAUAUUCGGAAGAACACCAGUGGCGAAGGCGGCUCACUGGACUGGUAUUGACGCUGAGGUGCGAAAAGCGUGGGGAGCAAA
rnacentral:rRNA from 1 species